AACAAUCUCGCCCCGAUCUCUUGCCGGAAAACUCUCCUCCGUCAAACUCUCCUCUACUGUCGAACUGUCCUCCGCCAUCAAAAAACAACUUGCUGUCCCCCGCCGUCGAACUCUCCAAACGACUUGUUGCUUCUGCCGUCAAGCGAAGAAUUUUAGAAUCACCAAGAGUGCAGGACUACUAAAUGCUUUAGUAAAUGCUUUGGUUUUGUAAGUUAUGAUUCACCCGCUGCUGCCCAGACCGCCAUCAAGAUGAUGAAUGGCUUUCAAUUAGGUGGUAAGAAGUUGAAAGUACAACUUAAGAAAGAAAAUAAAGCUAACCUCAUUAAUGGUGAUAUACACUUAUGAGGAGGUAGCUUCUGCAUGUCACCUGUAUCAUAUCUGGCAACAGUGGCCUUCAUCUGUACUAUGAGUAUCAGCAGACAAAUGAUUCUUCUCGUUACCCAUUCUAUUCUGUUUUAAAGGUCAAAACUGGUAGCUUCGUUACUAGAUUCAUUGUUUAAAUAGCAGAGAUGUAUUUACGUUGAUUCUUUUUGUAACUUAUCUACCAUGGGAGCUUCAAUAGAUGAAUAACAAUUUAAUUCAUUCAA